AGCUUCUGAGGAGACCUCAGGUUGUGAAUUUGGAAACUUCCUUGUGGCUUUACCAUUGUAAUGGCUUUACAUCACCACUUGCCCCAUCUGCUGGACAAAGGUGGCCAAUAAUGCAAAGUCAGAGGAUGCCACAGGAACCCAGGCUGUAAAACACAAUGUUGGGUGGAUCUGGCAUGGACAUCCCUCCAUGGGGAGACAUGGGAGCCUGUGCAGUGUGCAUGAAGAACAGCAGCUCAAUCCCUCCUGAGGACCAGGACAAAGGAAAGGUCAAGGCUGACUUCAUAUUCCUUCAGAUGCAUCUUCUGUGUGAUGAUUUUCAUCUUGGUCCUAAUUGUUUUGGAAAUUUUUGGAAGCCUGUCAUCAUUGCUGCCUACUUGGGCAUUUCAGCAGUUGUCAUAUUCAUCUGGAGAAUUAUCUUUCCUGAAGCUAUUUAUGAGAUGACAUAAAUGGAAAGAGAAAAAAAAGAAGCUGUCAAUUGCACAAGAUAAAGAGAAAUCAGCUAGUGAAGAAAUACUGUAUUUAAAGAAAAAAAACUGGAGAAAUUCAAGAACAAGUGCAGAAAAAAGAGAAGCACCUUCAACACCAGAUCAUCAUUUAUGAACAAAAGACUCAUGACAACUGGCUCAGGACUUGUGCUGUGGACAGGGCAGUGGCAGAAGAAAUCAGGGAGGCCACCUACUUGAAGGAACGUUUGGCAAUAAUACGAUAUCAGAGGCUGCCCAAGGGACACAGGCUGCACCCAGCACCAGGGGGAUCCAGCAUGGACAACCCUGCAUGGAAAGAACCACCCAUGUGACAUCCAGAGGACCCUGAUCCUUGAUAAACCACAAUCGUAGCUGAAUAUUGGAAAAGGUGUCACAGGCACAUUACUCUUUUCCCUGUCUGAUCAUGCCUCUUCCCUGUUUUAACUUUUCUUUGAUGUU